AGUGAACGCUGGCGGUAGGCCUAACACAUGCAAGUCGAACGGCAGCACAGUAAGAGCUUGCUCUUACGGGUGGCGAGUGGCGGACGGGUGAGGAAUACAUCGGAAUCUACUUUUUCGUGGGGGAUAACGUAGGGAAACUUACGCUAAUACCGCAUACGACCUACGGGUGAAAGCAGGGGAUCUUCGGACCUUGCGCGAUUGAAUGAGCCGAUGUCGGAUUAGCUAGUUGGCGGGGUAAAGGCCCACCAAGACGACGAUCCGUAGCUGGUCUGAGAGGAUGAUCAGCCACACUGGAACUGAGACACGGUCCAGGCUCCUACGGGAGGCAGCAGUGGGGAAUAUUGGACAAUGGGCGCAAGCCUGAUCCAGCCAUACCGCGUGGGUGAAGAAGGCCUUCGGGUUGUAAAGCCCUUUUGUUGGGAAAGAAAAGCAGCAGGUUAAUACCCCGCUGUUCUGACGGUACCCAAAGAAUAAGCACCGGCUAACUUCGUG
rnacentral:rRNA from 1 species